UGGGGAAUUUUGGACAAUGGGCGCAAGCCUGAUCCAGCCAUUCCGCGUGCAGGACGAAGGCCUUCGGGUUGUAAACUGCUUUUGUACGGAACGAAAAGCCCUUCUCCAAUACAGAGGGGUCAUGACGGUACCGUAAGAAUAAGCACCGGCUAACUACGUGCCAGCAGCCGCGGUAAUACGUAGGGUGCGAGCGUUAAUCGGAAUUACUGGGCGUAAAGCGUGCGUAGGCGGUUAUGUAAGACAGAUGUGAAAUCCCCGGGCUCAACCUGGGAACUGCGUUUGUGACUGCAUAACUAGAGUACGGCAGAGGGAGGUGGAAUUCCGCGUGUAGCAGUGAAAUGCGUAGAGAUGCGGAGGAACACCGAUGGCGAAGGCAAUCCCCUGGACCUGUACUGACGCUCAUGCACGAAAGCGUGGGGAGCAAACA
rnacentral:rRNA from 1 species